CCUACGGGAGGCAGCAGUAAGGGAUAUUGGUCAAUGGGGGAAACCCUGAACCAGCAACGCCGCGUGAGGGAAGACGGUUUUCGGAUUGUAAACCUCUGUCCUCUGUGAAGAUAAUGACGGUAUCUCACGAAUAAGCACCGGCUAACUCCGUGCCAGCAGCCGCGGUAAUACGGAGGGUGCAAGCGUUACUCGGAAUCACUGGGCGUAAAGAGUGCGCAGGCGGGCGUGUAAGUCAGAUGUGAAAUCCUGUAGCUUAACUACAGAACUGCAUUUGAAACUAUGAGUCUAGAGUGUGGGAGAGGUAGGUGGAAUUCUUGGUGUAGGGGUAAAAUCCGUAGAUAUCAAGAGGAAUACUCAUUGCGAAGGCGACCUACUGGAACAUUACUGACGCUCAUGCACGAAAGCGUGGGGAGCAAACAGGAUUAGAUACCCCUGUAGUC
rnacentral:rRNA from 1 species